UGAGAAGUUUGGCUUUCUUAAACACUAUAUAAGAUGAAGUCCAGACGUUUGGAUACGUGCGCCUAGUGGGCCAUUUUUGGUAAGCAGAACUGGCGCUGCGGGAUGAACCGAACGUUGAGUUACGGCGCCCGACGAGACGCUCAUGAGAUCCCAUAAAAGGUGUUGGUUGCUAUAGACAGCAGGACGGUGGCCAUGGAAGUCGGAAUCCGCUAAGGAGUGUGUAACAACUCACCUGCCGAAGCAACUAGCCCUGAAAAUGGAUGGCGCUGUAGCGUCUGGCCUAUACUCAACCGUUAUUGYAAUGGUGUCUKYUAAUACAGCAUCCAUGUCCAGUCAUGCAAUAACGAGUAGGAGGGCCGCGGCGGUAGCAUUGAAGGCGUACGGGCGUGAGCCUGGCUGGAGCUGCCGUCGGUGCAGAUCUUGGUGGUAGUAGCAAAUACUCAAGCGAGAACCUUGAGGACUGAAGUGGAGAAGGGUUCCAUGUGAACAGCAGUUGAACAUGGGUCAGUCGACCCUAAGGUAUCGGCGAAAGCCGUUCAGAAGCGGUGUGGAUAUGUGCGCAGAAAUGUGUACAGGUUAUUGGGUCAAACUGCCUGGCUGUGAAACGGGUUAAGCYGUCAUGGUUUGGUAGCCAAUAAUCACCGCACCUGCCGAAAGGGAAUCGGGUUAAUAUUCCCGAACCUGGCAUCGGAGACUGAAUGGCCUUCGGGUCAUUUUCAUGCGGUAACGCAAAUGAACUCAGAGACGCUGACACGUACCCUGGGAAGAGUUGUCUUUUCUUGAUAAGGAGCAAACUGCCUGGAAUCGGAUCAUCCGGCGAUAGGGAGAAAGCAUCCGUAAAGCACCGCGGUUCUUGCGGUGUCCGGUGCGUACGUGUCGGUCCUUGAAAAUCUGAGGGAGAGUGUGAUUUUCGUGCCAGAUCGUACCCAUAUCCGCAGCAGGU
rnacentral:rRNA from 1 species